rnacentral:rRNA from 1 species
UACGUAGGGUGCGAGCGUUGUCCGGAAUUAUUGGGCGUAAAGAGCUCGUAGGCGGUGUGUCGCGUCGGCCGUGAAAACCUGCAGCUUAACUGUGGGCUUGCGGUCGAUACGGGCAUCACUGGAGUUCGGCAGGGGAGACUGGAAUUCCUGGUGUAGCGGUGAAAUGCGCAGAUAUCAGGAGGAACACCGGUGGCGAAGGCGGCAUCCUGGACCGGUAUUGACGCUGAUGCGCGAAAGCCAGGGGAGCAAACGGG